rnacentral:lncRNA from 1 species
UAAAAUAUACAAUUAUAACCUAUAAUCAAUGCCCCAUUAUAUUUGUGUGGUUAAACUUUACACCACUUCAAUUAAUAGUAGUCCAUUUCGUUUUCCUUUUUUCUUAACUUUCUCCUCAAGUCCUAUUUUGUAGAAAAGAUGUAAAGAGCAGUACCACCGAAUUAAUGUAAAGUCAAGAGGAAUAGACAGAUAUUCAAUAAACUUCAUUUCAUAGUUUUCCAUAAUUAGCUGCUUCAGAAAAUAACUAUCAAGUGGGAGCUUCUAUACUCAGCCUCAGCAGAAGAGAGGGAUACUACAAGCUGCUUCUUAGCCUUCCAACCAAUAAGGGAGUCACCUAUCAGAACAUAAAAACCAGAUAAAGAUCUUCUGGUGUCUGGGCAGGAUGCCCAGUCAAUAUCACAGUAAGCAGAUAAGGAGAGGUCAGGAGUGUUGCUGAGAAAGAUGCCAAGGUCAGAAGUGCCUCUGAGAUAUCUCAGGGUAUGCAAAGCUGCAUGCAUAUGGGAGGAAGUAGGCUUCUCGAGGUAUUGACUUAAAUGCUGGACAGCAAAGGCUAAGUCAGGUCUAGUGUGGGUGAGGAAAUUGAGUUUCCCCACUAGGCAUCUAUAGGUUUCAGGAGAGGGAAGAGGAUCCCCUAAAUCCAGUUUGAGUUUAAUAGAGAGGUCAAGAGGGCAAGUAACAGGAGAUACAUCUUCACAGUGAUAGGCCAUGAGGAGGUCAGUGAUGAAUUUUUUCUGGUGGAGAAGAAGCCCAGUAGGAAGAUAAGAGACCUCAAUACCCAAAAAAUAGUUGAGCACCCCUAAGUCCUUGAUUUUAAACUCAUGGUCCUCACAGUGAUAGGCCUUGAGCAGGUCGGUGAUGAACUUUUUCUGGUGGAGAAGGAGCCCAGUAGGAAGAUAAGUGACCUCAAUUCCCAAAAAAUAGUUGAGUACCCCCAAGUCCUUGAUUUUAAACUCAUGAUCCAGAAAUAUUUUCAAAGCAGUGAUCUCCUCCAAAUCAUUACCAGUAAGAAUAAUGUCAUCAACAUAUACAGCCAACAAGACAAUAGAAGAGCCAGAUUUCUUAAGGAAAAGAGAAUAGUCAUUGAGAGAAGAAGAAAAACCCUUAGAACAUAAAGCCUGGGACAGCUUGGCAUACCAUUGCCUAGAAGCUUGCCUUAAACCAUACAAAGAUUUCUGAAGUAGAC